GAUCUAAAUCGGAAGGUAGCACACAGACAUAUGCCAGCCAAUCCAGCUCAGAAGGCAGCACUCAGACAUAUGCCAGCCAAACCAGAUCAGGAAGCAGCAGUCAAGCUGAUACUAGCAAAUCCAAAUCACAGGAAAGUACCCAAACACAAAGCAGUAGUAACUAGUGAUUCCUUCAGAAGGCAACGGAUAACAUCGAGAGUCUCGCUAAGAAAUGAAAAUUCUGUCUGUCCUUCCGUGGUCACAGCUGAAAGAAACAAUAAAUUGAGUGUGGAUCAA
rnacentral:sRNA from 1 species